rnacentral:piRNA from 1 species
GUCCAAUGUGUCAAUGGUGGGUUGGU